AGUGAACGCUGGCGGUAGGCCUAACACAUGCAAGUCGAACGGCAGCACAGUAAGAGCUUGCUCUUACGGGUGGCGAGUGGCGGACGGGUGAGGAAUACAUCGGAAUCUACUUUUUCGUGGGGGAUAACGUAGGGAAACUUACGCUAAUACCGCAUACGACCUACGGGUGAAAGCAGGGGAUCUUCGGACCUUGCGCGAUUGAAUGAGCCGAUGUCGGAUUAGCUAGUUGGCAGGGUAAAGGCCCACCAAGGCGACGAUCCGUAGCUGGUCUGAGAGGAUGAUCAGCCACACUGGAACUGAGACACGGUCCAGACUCCUACGGGAGGCAGCAGUAGGGAAUAUUGGGCAAUGGGCGCAAGCCUGAUCCAGCCAUACCGCGUGGGUGAAGAAGGCCUUCGGGUUGUAAAGCCCUUUUGUUGGGAAAGAAAAGCAGCAGGUUAAUACCCCGCUGUUCUGACGGUACCCAAAGAAUAAGCACCGGCUAACUUCGUG
rnacentral:rRNA from 1 species